UUCCAGACUCCUACGGGAGGCAGCAGUGGGGGAUAUUGCACAAUGGAGGAAACUCUGAUGCAGCGACGCCGCGUGAGGGGAGACGGUCUUCGGAUUGUAAACCUCUGUCUUUGGGGAAGAAAAUGACGGUACCCAAAGAGGAAGCUCCGGCUAACUACGUGCCAGCAGCCGCGGUAAUACGUAGGGAGCGAGCGUUGUCCGGAAUUACUGGGUGUAAAGGGAGCGCAGGCGGGAAGCCAAGUCAGCUGUGAAAACUACGGGCUUAACUUGUAGACUGCAGUUGAAACUGGUUUUCUUGAGUGAAGUAGAGGUUGGCGGAAUUCCGAGUGUAGCGGUGAAAUGCGUAGAUAUUCGGAGGAACACCGGUGGCGAAGGCGGCCAACUGGGCUUUAACUGACGCUGAGGCUCGAAAGUGUGGGGAGCAAACAGGAUUAGAUACCCUAGUAC
rnacentral:rRNA from 1 species